CUAUAUGAAGUCGGGAUUGCUAGUAAUCGCAGAUCAGCAUGCUGCGGUGAGUACGUUCCCGGGCCUUGUACACACCGCCCGUCACACCAUGAGAGUCGAUAACACCCGAAGCCUGUAGUCUAACCAUAAGGGGGACGCAGUCGAAGGUGGGAUUGAUAAUUAGGGUGAAGUCGUAACAAGGUAAC
rnacentral:rRNA from 1 species